GGGGUUGUGGCUCAGCGGUAGAGUGCUUGCCUAGCACAUGCAAGGCCCUGGGUUCGGUCCUCAGCACCACA
rnacentral:tRNA from 1 species